AUUGAACGCUGGCGGCAUGCCUUACACGUGCAAGUCGAACGGCAGCACGGGUGCUUGCACCUGGUGGCGAGUGGCGAACGGGUGAGUAACAUAUCGGAACGUACCUUAUUGUGGGGGAUAACGCAGCGAAAGCUGUGCUAAUACCGCAUAAUCCCUAAGGGGAAAAGCGGGGGACCGUAAGGCCUCGCGCAAUUAGAGCGGCCGAUACCUGAUUAGCUAGUUGGUGAGGUAAAGGCUCACCAAGGCAACGAUCAGUAGCUGGUCUGAGAGGAUGAUCAGCCACACUGGGACUGAGACACGGCCCAGACUCCUACGGGAGGCAGCAGUGGGGAAUCUUGGACAAUGGGGGCAACCCUGAUCCAGCCAUGCCGCGUGUGUGAAGAAGGCCUUCGGGUUGUAAAGCACUUUCAGCAGGGAGGAAGGCUUUGGCCGAAUAGGUUGAAGUACUUGACGUUACCUGCAGAAGAAGCACCGGCUAAUUUCGUGCCAGCAGCCGCCGUAA
rnacentral:rRNA from 1 species